rnacentral:misc_RNA from 1 species
GGAGAUACCAAAACAAAAGAGAAAUAUUUUUCACAAAGUGGUUUAGUGAGGAGAAAUUCUUUUUUACAAGUUUCAAAGUAGUGUAAACAAAUAUAAAACAAGAUAUACAGGCAUAAAUACUUCUAAAUAUUCUGUUUGGAGUCAAAGAUCUUGCUUAGAGUUAUCUUCUAUUGAUUCACGUUCUGAAUUCCAUAGUGAAAAUAAGUUCACUGAUCGUCGUUUUCCCAGUAGCCGCCUAGAACAAGGUAAACAACUCGCAACUCUUUCACAUGUUCUGACUUUAAUAUGUCGAAUAUUGUUUCAUACUCUGUCGAUUCAAAGAGGAUUUUUAUUUGAUGUGUUUAAGCCAAUCUUGUUAAAAUGAUAUGUCUGUAUUCUGUUGUUUUUGGUUCUCCAUGAGUUCCUUUGGCUAAGAUCUUCCUUUUUUUUAUGUUUGUUUAUUAUGUAUUUCGUCUUGUUACUGCUCCGAGCUUUUAGUUUAAAGAAUGGAAUCCCUUUCGUCCUGUAUUUGGAAGGAGUUGCGUGAAUCAUGUGGCAGCUCGUUUGAUUAUUUUUUUUUUGAUACAAGUUUGAAUUUAAGUUUGUGUCCUCUACAACAGGACUACAAAUAUGUUAAUCUCUUCUGCUCGUCCCGUUGUUUUACUUUUAAAAAUAAGAUUGGAGUUUUGUUAACUCACUAUAUGCCUAAAUAUAGCUUGAGUUUGUUUUGUAUUGUUUAAUAGGUCGAAAGAACUGGAAAUUUCAGCCUUUAACAUAUAGUUGUUUUUGACCUGUUUUGCUAUUUUGUGAUGGAAAGCAUAUGUGUUGUCUAGAUCUUCUGUGGCCUCAUGAGAGCUUGAUCUUUAUUUCUGGAUCAUGUUAGGAAUAUGCUCUUAGCCAGUCUUUUCAAGUUCUUCAUAAUUUGGCCAUAGGCAAUUUCUCUAUAUUGUUUUUUUGAAGGUCAUGUGCUGCUUCGAGUUUUGAGUUUAAUUCUUAAAGGUCAGUGGCGUUUUUCUUUAUACUUUCUUUAGUUUCCGUUCUUCUUCAUCCAGGUGUCGGAGCCUUAAAAUCGGUCUUGAAAUAUGUUUGUGUUACAGUAUCUGAUUUGUUCCUAAUUGUUCUCCGAAAAUUUCCUAAUGCAUCCUGAUGUUUAUCCAUGUAGCUUUAAUGGGCAUUAUACACUGGAAUCAUAUAUGAGUUUUAAAUUAUUCUUUUUUUGUUGACCUCUUGUUCAAGUGUAUAAAACAUGAGCCUCCAAAUUUAAUAUUAUUUGUAAAAAGAUGUUUUCUCUUAACUCGAUUUGUGCUUGACUCUUCUGUGAGGUCUAUUCCUUGACAUGAUAUUACUACUCUUUGUUGAAACAAUAACAUUGUUUUAACUUCCGUUUACUUUUUGCGAGAUUGAAAUUUUUAGUUUUGGCAUUAUUUGAAUUUCAUAAGUUAACAGGAAUUCAAGUUGAUGACAAUAAUGGCUUAUUAGGCCGUGUUACUGUCGUAUUAUUUUCUUCUGAUCCUAAGUCUCGCUUACCAUUUUCUUUUUGUUGACUGUAUGUGAGAAUCUGCCCGUGUCCUCGUGGAUUUCAUUUUAUUCCCACAUACUCGAGAGCCGUAAAGGCUCAACGUCUUCAUUGACUCUUCCAGCUUUAAAAUUGAUGGACAGGUCCUUGAAAUUGAGGAAUACGGAGCCAUUGAAGAGUUGAGGUUUUG